GACGAACGCUGGCGGCGUGCCUAAUACAUGCAAGUCGAGCGGACGAUUCGAAAGCUUGCUUUUGAAUCGUUAGCGGCGGACGGGUGAGUAACACGUGGGCAACCUGCCCUGUAGACGGGGAUAACACCGAGAAAUCGGUGCUAAUACCGGAUAACACGAAAUGUCGCAUGACGUUUCGUUGAAAGGCGGCGCAAGCUGCCGCUACAGGAUGGGCCCGCGGCGCAUUAGCUAGUUGGUGAGGUAACGGCUCACCAAGGCGACGAAGCGUAGCCGACCUGAGAGGGUGAUCGGCCACACUGGGACUGAGACACGGCCCAGACUCCUACGGGAGGCAGCAGUAGGGAAUCUUCCGCAAUGGACGAAAGUCUGACGGAGCAACGCCGCGUGAGCGAAGAAGGCCUUCGGGUCGUAAAGCUCUGUUGUUAGGGAAGAACAAGUAACGUAGUAACUGACGUUACUAUGACGGUACCUAACGAGAAAGCCACGGCUAACUACGUG
rnacentral:rRNA from 1 species